CACAAUGGGCUGCCCCCAUACUGGGUUGUCAAGAACCCUGAAGUUGGAUAACACCGCGGGUCAGCUUGGAUGUGAGGCAACCAGCUUUCCUACUCUGCUGAUGGGCCUGCAAACCAAGAGCAGGACGUUAUGAAGACAAAAAUGAAGACCGGUCUGAGACGACCUUUCUAAAGAGCUUCAGCUGAGAUUGAAGAAUGAGGAGUUGGUCAGACCAAGUAACUCAAGGAGGAAAGAGCUCUUUGUGCAAAGGUCUGAAUCUGAAAAGAACUCAGGGCAUUUGAGGUCUCCGAAGGACAGGCAGUAGCAAGGACCCGGGGCCAGAGCAGCCCGGAACUACGCCUGAAGGUGCAGCGGGAGGCCCAGGAGCCCUCAGGCCAUGCUAAGGACUCUGUUUAUUAUCCUGAGCUUCAGAGGUCGCAGAAGGGCUAAAGCCAAGAAAUGAUGUUCUCAGAUCUGCAUUUUUCAGAGAUCUCUCUGGGCUCUGUGGAGUUGAAAGCAUGGUGUCACGGCCUUCCUCUGUCUUGCAAAUGAGGUAAUGGCACACAUCUGUACUUACAAUGGAGUAUGUAAUUCUACGUAUAAUUGUGUCAGUAACAGCACACAGUUCGCCUUCUGAAACAUCUAGACAGACUGCUUCCUAUGAGGUCCCAAGAAUUCCAACUAGGAGUCAUCAUACAGGCUUUGAUAUGUAUACAUUAAAGAUGGC
ensembl:lncRNA